UUGAUGUCGUGGGGCCUGAUGUGUGGUUCAAGUGAUGGGGUGACGCAGUGAGGUAGCCACGCCACUUAGUGGAUUGGUGGUGUAAGCGUGCAGAUCGUGUGGUAGGUAAAUCCGCUACACAUUGUGGUUGAGACGUGAUGCGUAGACCCUAAGCGGGUUGAUGGUGGUGAUCCUGUACUGUCGAGAAAAGCCUCUAGCGAUGUGUGUGUAUGGCCCGUACCCUAAACCGACACAGGUAGUCAGGUUGAAAAUACUAAGGCGUUCGGGUGAACUGUGGUUAAGGAAUUCGGCAAAAUGCCCCCGUAACUUCGGGAGAAGGGGGGCCUCACGGCGUGAGCACUCUUUGCGGUGUUAAGCGUUGUGGGGUCGCAGAGAAUAGAGGGAAGCGACUGUUUAUCAAAAACACAGGUCCGUGCGAAGACG
rnacentral:rRNA from 1 species